GUGCCGCGCCGAUCCAAUCCCCCCCGGAAACCGCAGGCUGCGCGCGCGCCGAGUUCCGGGCAGGGGCUCCCGCGGCGGCGCCCCGGCUUCCGGCGCUGAGCUCGCUGCCGCCCCGGCGCGGUAUGGAGGCGAAGGAGGCAUCCGCGCCAGCUGCCGGCGGCGGGUGCCCGGUGUCGGCGGAAGAGAUCGAAAAGUGGAUGGAGGAGGCCAUGCAAAUGGCCAAAGAAGCCCUAGAAAAUACUGAAGUUCCUGUUGGCUGCCUUCUGGUCUACAACAACGAGGUUGUGGGGAAAGGAAGGAAUGAAGUUAAUCAAACCAAAAAUGCGACUCGACAUGCAGAAAUGGUGGCCAUCGACCAGGCCCUAGCCUGGUGCCGGGGCAGCGGCCGGAGCCCCUCCGCGGUGUUUGAGCAAACGGUGCUGUACGUCACGGUGGAGCCAUGCAUCAUGUGCGCAGCUGCCCUCCGCCUCAUGAAAAUCCCGCUGGUUGUGUAUGGCUGUCAGAAUGAACGUUUUGGUGGUUGUGGCUCUGUUCUAGACAUUGCCUCUGCUGAUUUACCAAAUACUGGGAGACCGUUUCAGGUACCAAGAUAGCACAAAGUGAACACUUUAAAAAUCCUCUAUAUGCAUUCCAGGGUAUCGGGCUGAGGAAGCAGUGGAAAUGUUAAAGAACUUCUACAAACAAGAAAAUCCAAAUGCACCAAAAUCAAAGGUUCGGAAAAAGGAGUGCCAGAGACCCUGAGUUUGUUUUAACGAAGGACUGACGCCCCUGGAUGAAAUUCUUGCCUGAACACUGGUGAUGUCAUUGAAGCAGAUGUUAUGUAUCGUCCUUAACCUGUGGGAAAAUGGUCUCUCAUCAUUUCCUCUGUUAAAGGAACACAUGAACACUGUGACAAAGUCUGACAAUUGCAAUAAACAGUUUUUCCACAAGCUGGAAAAUGGAAGAUCAAGGUUUUAGAAAUUAGUGAGCAGCAUGAUGCACUUCCUGCCAAAUGCAUCACCAGUUCAGGACAGUGCUGUCAGAGCAUGUACCAGUGCCGGGCUGUGCCACUGCGGACCCCUGCUCCACGCCUGGUGUUGCAGAACUGCAUUUUUCAUUCUUUGCAUCCACUGUGUUCUCCCAGCCUGCUGGGGGCCCGUGACUUCCUUGGAAAUUGUCUGUGUUGCGUACCUGUAGACCGUGAUUAUCUGGUCUUUUGAACAGAUUUUUACCUUUACAAAGCAUUUAGAGAAAAUGCAUAUCGUAAAACAAGUGCUUACGUGUCAUUUUAAAUUGCAACAUAUUGCUAAAAUAAAACCGUAUUUGUGCCUUUUUU